rnacentral:lncRNA from 1 species
UAUUGCGCCUGCGUUUAACUCUACUAUGUUCAUUUCAUUCUCUUGCUACCUCCUAAUCCGGCUAAAUCCGCUCUUUCUCUAUAUUGUAUGAGUGACUGACUUACAUAAAAUGGUGAAUUAAAGGAAACAAUAUGGCAGCUUUGGGUUUUAGCUUAUUCCAUCACUCCUGUAUCAAAUCACAUAGUCUUACUAUGAAAAUAAUCUGAAUCACUAGCUUUUAUAUAUCUUCUUAAUUAUUUUAAAAUAUUGAGUCGUUUUAUUGCCUAUUGGGGGGAUUUUACUCCACAAUAAUUUAAUUAUUAAUAAAUAAUAUAUGUAUAUAAUUUAAUUCCUCCUUCAAUCAACAACAGUAGUUUGCAAAUUCAACGUGUGCUUCUUUACAAAUUAAUAAAUAGCUUAUAUUAUAGAGUGUGAACCAUCUAUGUAAAUACAUGCAAAUAUGAUAUUAAUAUUUA